CAUAGAAUAAAGCUGAACCUAGAUAAACCUAGGACGGGGGACUAUUUCUUGGGGUGAAUCGCGUAGCGCACGCGUAGGGCUCACACUUUUGCCCGAAUCCGUCAACUAACCUCGUAAGCUAAGAAAGGUGUCAAA
rnacentral:sRNA from 2 species